UGGAGCACUCUCUGUCAGUGCUACAGAGACAGAAUUGUCCUGCGAGCCUUCUGACCAACUACCUUUCAUCUCUCCAGAGCACAGAGAAGUGAGUCUGCUGGGCAAUGGAACUCUAGCGCAGUACAUCCAAAAAACCUUCCACCCUGUUGUCAGCUAUCUGCAGAUAGUUCCCUGAUGGAUGCAACUAUCAAGGCUUUCAAAGGCCACAUUUUGGGGGUGACCAAAUGCAUAAAGUUUUGUAUGAACUAAGUUUAAUUUUGUUAGAUUACAAAAUACCUUUUUCAUGUCAUGUUGGUCUUCACACUAACUUCUGUGGUAACUUUUGAACAAAGACAACACAUAGGCUAAUUGGGGUUUUGACAUCAGAUGUUGUUCAGAGCUGAUAUGAGUGGUCAAAAGACCAAUUAGUGAAAAACAAAACAUAAUUGGGCAGCCUGUGUGAAAGCAGCCUUAGUUUAUGCUUCAAAAGGCCUAGAGUAAAAGAGUCAUGUCUAGAUUAAUACAUUUUUAUUCAUGUAUACGAGAUAUAUCUAUCCCUGACCAGAUUGAAGAAUGGGACAAGUAGACAAAGUGAAUGUCUGUGAUUGUCUGUAGCAUAAUUUGAGUGGUUACAUACAAUACAUGUUGACAGAAUGGCUGCGAGACAGUGUUGCUGUACUCCCAGGUAAGACCCUUUCUUUCAGUACCACGGAAGGGCAUAGUUUACAUUCAGGCUGCUUUGAAGAAGUGUCACCAUCCAGGCCCAUGUCACAUCCUCUGAUGGGGAGAUGAAAUGCAUUAUGUACCUUUCAUCACCAAAGCCAUGUUAGCGUUUACUGCACAUGUUGCUGAACAAUUCAACCCUUUUGUUAGUGUCAUUGAUAUGGAAAUUCACAUUCUGUUAAUAAGCAUUGACUAAUACCUCUAGGGCAGAGGUAGGCAAUCCUUUUCCUGGAGUGCCGCAGGCGCUUAAUGUUUCUGAUUAAACUGACCUGGAAGACAAUCACUGAACUGAUAAAUCAGCUCAGUUGGUCAGUACGGAUUUCAGUACAUAGAACGUUCAAUUGAACGGAAGUGGUGCUGUACUGAAUGACCAGUUUAAAAAUGGGAAAGGCUUGGGUUGUCGGUUCAAAGUAUACCGCUGCCCUUUAAAUAUGUUGCUUCAAGCCACACACCCACUGAACGGCGCAAACGUAUGUCUAAGAACAUACAAGAACGUUUUGUUAAAAUGUGUCAUUCAGUACAAACCGUUCCACAAUGUAGCAAAUGAUUAAGUGAACUAUAGCCUAGAUGGAACAAAAUUAUUCAUUACCUGGGCUCCCGAGUGGCGCAGAUGUCUAAGGCACAGCAUCUCUUUGUGCUUGAGGCGUCACUACAGACCCUGGUUCUAUCCUGGGCUGUAUCACAACCGGCCGGGAUCGGGCGUCGCACAAUUGGCCCAGCGUCGUUAGGGGAGGAUUUGGCCAGGGUAGGCUGUCAUUGUAAAAUAAGAAUUUGUUCUUAACUGACUUGCCUGGUUAAAUAAAAAGGUUUGCCUGCUCUAGGGUCCUGUGGUGAAGCGACUGCUGUGCAAGGUAUUGGGCAACAGCUUUCUUCCAGUGUCCAUAUUCACAAAACAUCUCAGAGAGUGAUCUAGGAUAACCUCCUUGUCAAUGUAAUUGUAGUCAAUGUGAAGACAAUCCUAACAUCAGUACUCCUACUCUACUCUGAGAUUCUUUGUGAAUUUGGUCCCUGGCCUGUCAACACUGCACCUGAAAUGCAACAAAAAUAUGAAUAAUUAGCUCAGUAACUUAGCUAACUAGCCAAUGAAACACUUGUAAAUGUGCACAAGCCUAAUAAAGCAGGUGUAUAUGAAAACAGCCUAUUAGCUGUGAAAUUAAGAGGCAUUUAUCUUGCUAAUUUUGUCACCAAUUGAUAAACAGGCAGGGGAACAAAGUAGUUUAACAAAAACUGCGGAAUAGUCUAACUAGCUAUAAUUUCAAAUACAGCUACCAAUAUAUCUAGUUAAUUGUUAUUUUCUAGAAACCUAGCUAGUCUGUUUAGCUAGCUAAGGUGAACUCUGAUGGUGGGAGUAAACUAACGUUAGCUAGUUUGGCCCCUGCAGUUAAGGUAGCUGGCUAGUUACAUUUUUAAUCAAGUUUAUUAAUUGUAUGAAUAGCUAGCAAAGAUAUUCGUUCACACAUGUCUCUAGUUGACCCAAAUUGUCUGCAUACCUCCACACGGCAAAGCAGAUAAUAUGGAGAUACUGUCGUUUUCAACAGCAGCCAGCACUGCCAGAGCAACCCACUGUACAGUAUUGCCAACUCCUCAGUAAGGAAAGUAGCUAUUGGCUGUCCUAAAAGUCGCUAAAUGACGCCAUCACCUAAUUUGCAUAAUUGGCCAUGUGCAUGUAAUUGUGAUGGACGCUGUAGGAGAGAGGAAUAAAGGAAUAACGUGGAAGAGACAAAGUGAGUAAAAAAAACACCCUAUAUACAUUUAGAACUACAAAGGGAUUUUCUGUCGAUUUUUUUUUUUUUGUCACAAUUCCAACCCUCCUCCUUUAUCCAGACUUGGGACCGGUAGAAGUGACCCAAAAGAGACACUCUGGCGGAGUUACUUACAUUUUUAACCAUAACAUGUUUUACAUUUUUUUGUAUAUAAUCUAAAUGGACCAAAAGGAGACAAUAAAAAAAAAAAACUGUCAAUGGCAAUGUGGGAAAAUUAUGGUAACUAGUCUGGCCAUAAUUCAGGUUAAUUGUUUAAAAAAAAAAUCGGACCCCCCCCCCUCCACACACACACAGCCUGUGCUGGCUCACAGAAAGAGUGGGUCAUUGUCAUUUUGGUCAAGGCUCUCUAUGGCAGGUUCAGUAACUGAGGGAGCUGACUUAAAUGAGCAAGCAGCUGAUGAGCCAAAAAGCUGCAAAACAUUAUCAGGCAGCUGGUGCUCAUAGCAAGGCUCAUCAGACAGCUUCAGUCCAUAUCGAAUGUACAGGAUGGAGUUAAGGGUCUGCAAGGACAUCCGAUUUCUAAGUUUGUUUUUUACCACUCUGGCUGAAUACUCUCUUGACUUCAGCAUUGGAGUGUGGCAAGGACAACAGACACAGCAGCCAUGGCAAGUUCUUGAAACGGGUUGAUAUCAGCUGCAUCCCUGAACUUCCAAAUCUCACUCCAGAAGCACAGUGUGUUUUUUGUUGUUGUCCCAUUCCGUUUACCAAGAUGGAUGGCCCACCAUUGCUGGACAAUCUUGUCUACCAAGGAGCGUGGCUUUUUUCUAUUUCUCCAGGGCUCUUAUUGUGCUUUAGAGUUUCCUCCAAAUUGAAAACUGACAUGUACUGCAGUGCUUCGAUGUUGUCCGGCAGUCACCCUCAACUCAUUAUUAGUGAGGGAGAUGGUGAAGGCUACACACCGCUUUCUGACAUUGUUUUCAUCCUCAGGCGCAAGGUGGAGCUCAGCUGCCUUUGACUUAAAAAGGUAACCACGGUACGGUUUGGGACUGAUGUAUCCAUUAUUGGCCCUUUUAGUACAUCAACAUUUGCCGGUGGAUUCAGCACCCUGCUGCUCACAGACUUGAUCAGGCUAACCAAGCUGUCAAGUAGCUUAAGAGGAUCAACUUGCUCUCCCUCAAAAGCCUUGAUGGCCAACUGUACCUCACCCAGCACGGACUUCAAAAAAGUCAGAUACAAUAUGUUUUGAGGAUCACUGUACAUGGAGUAUAAAACCUCAGCCAUGUAGCAGUGUUCACUGGACUUGGUGACUGAAAUGCAGCCUAAGCUCCUCCCACUGGCCUAAAACGCGUGCAACCGCAGGUUCAAUGGAGAGCCAAUGUGUGGCACACACCUUGGUUAUCUGUAAAGGUUUCUCCCAACAGUUGAUGGUCUCAUAUAUGGCCUUGUUGGCCAGUUAUAAGUCUCAUACCAAGUACUCCACACUACAGGGGAUGGUGUCAUUGGAAGCAUGACUUACAGCAAGCUGCAGAGUGGCACACACGGCAAAUAAAAACCAGAUAUUUGAGGCCAUAAUCCUUCAGCACUUUAUGGACCCCAUUGUUAAUCCCCGUCAUAACAGCGGCAUUGUCAGUCCCUAUCCCCAGGUGUUUCUCUUUUUUAAGACAAGACUUCUCGAGGAAAGUCACAAAAGCAUGGGCUAUAGAUUUUGCAUCUCCUCCCUCCAACUCAAUAAGCCCCAGAAAUGUUGAUACAAUUGUCUGCUUGGUGUCACUAAAGUACCUUAUCACAACCCCCAGGUACUUAGAAACACUUAAAUCCGUGGACUCAUUGAGGAGGAUGCUGCAACGCUGGUCACCCACCCCUGCGGCCAACUUUUUCAGAAAGUAUUGUGCUAGAACACCAUUAAUCAUUUCUGUGCACUUUGUCCUGUGCAUUUUGAAGUGGGAAGCAGCAGUGGAGUCUGAGAAAGCAGCUCUACAUGCUUCUCCAAUGUGAUCACAUGCCAGCAUGGAACAGAACAGUGUUCAGCGAUAGCUAAUGCCAUGGUGGCCUCAGCCUUUUUUGCAGUCAAUUUUUUUUAACCAUGUCAGCUUGUUUUGGGUGGAACUGUUAUAAGGCUUUGCAUUUUGAGUAUGUUUAUGAGUUGUCAUGUGUUUUUUUUACAUCACUAAGUUUGGCGUAAAAAUCAGCCUUUACAAUACAGGCAGUAUGCCUGUGUAUCAUCUCCAAUAAACGGCUUCAACCAGCCUUUGAAUUCA